rnacentral:rRNA from 1 species
GGAGGGCGCAAGCGUUGUUCGGAAUCAUUGGGCGUAAAGCGCGUGUAGGCGGCUUGGCAAGUCGGGUGUGAAAGCCCGGGGCUCAACCCCGGAACUGCACUCGAAACUGUCUCGCUCGAGUCCCGGAGAGGAGGGCGGAAUUCCCGGUGUAGAGGUGAAAUUCGUAGAUAUCGGGAGGAACACCAGCGGCGAAGGCGGCCCUCUGGACGGUGACUGACGCUGAGACGCGAAAGCGUGGGGAGCAAACAGGAUUAGAUACCCUGGUAGUCCACGCCGUAAACGUUGGGUGCUAGGUGUCGCGGGUAUUGACCCCCCUGCGGUGCCGUCGUUAACGCAUCUAGCACCCCGCCUGGGGAGUACGGUCGCAAGGCUA